rnacentral:ribozyme from 1 species
ACGAAAGAGAAAGUGGGAGACAAAAGGAAAAGAGCCCGUCAGUUUUGAGGUUUUUUUGUUUUUUGUUUUUUGUUUUUUUAUUUUUUUUGUUUUU